CUUCUGCUGUUCUGUUCCAGGCUUGUAAGUUUUGCCACUUUUCUGCAAUGGAUAAAAGAUAACUGAAUGUUUCAAUAAACAUUCAGGUAGCUUGCAUCUGAAGUUUCUUUUUGACUAAGACACCAGCAGGCAAUUCCUCCAGGAGCAGAUACUCUAUAUUAAUGGGCAGCAGGUUUCUAUUGAAGAACAUCCAGUUUUUCAUAGAUCUGGAUAAGCAUUAAGGCUUGGUUUUGAAGUGCUUGAGCAACUUGCUACUGCCCAAGUCAUGACGCUCCCAUUUCGAAAGGACUUGGACAAGUACAAAGAUCUGGAUGAGGAUGAAAUUCUUGGCAAACUUUCGGAAGAAGAGCUGAAACAACUGGAAACUGUUUUGGAUGAUCUUGAUCCUGAGAACGCGCUGCUGCCCGCAGGCUUCCGGCAGAAGGACCAGACUGCCAAGAAGGCCUCGGCUCCCUUCGACAGGGAGCGGCUCCUGGCAUACCUGGAGAAGCAGGCGCUGGAGUACAAGGACAGGGAGGACUACGUGCCUUUCACAAGGGAAAAGAAAGGGAAAAUAUUUAUCCCCAAGCAAAAGCCUGUACAGUCUUUCACAGAAGAAAAAUUCUCUCUUGAUCCAGAACUGGAGGAAGCCCUGACCAGUGCCACAGACACAGAACUGGGUGACCUUGCAGCAAUACUGGGAAUGUCCAACUUGAUAACAAACAAUCAGUUCUGUGAUGUAGUAGGAAGCAGUAAUGGGAUUGACAAAGACAGCUUCUCAAAUAUAGUAAAAGGUGAGAAAAUGUUGCCUGUUUUUGAUGAACCACCAAAUCCCACAAAUGUGGAGGAGACACUGCAAAGGAUUAAAGAUAAUGAUUCUCGUCUUGUUGAAGUUAAUCUAAAUAACAUUAAGAACAUACCAAUUCCAACGCUGAAAGAAUUUGCAAAAGCCUUAGAAACCAACACACAUGUGAAGAAUUUCAGCCUGGCAGCCACCCGAAGCAAUGAUCCUGUUGCUGUUGCUCUUGCAGAUAUGCUGAGACGAAACACAAAAUUAAAAAGUUUGAACAUAGAAUCAAACUUCAUCACUGGAGUUGGAAUUCUGGCAUUGGUUGAUGCACUGAAAGACAAUGAAACGUUGACAGAGAUCAAAAUUGAUAAUCAGAGGCAGCAGCUGGGCACAGCUGCAGAAGUAGAAAUUGCCAAGAUGCUUGAAGAAAACAACAAGAUCCUCAAGUUUGGAUACCAUUUCACACAACAGGGACCUCGAGCCAGGGCAGCUGCAGCUAUCACAAAAAACAAUGAUUUGGUCUGGAGUAUGCGAGUAAAAGUUUCUGCAAAUACCUUUUCAUCUCUCCAGCCCUGAAGCUACAGAGAAGGUUACUCUGAGUACCCACUUGGGUAUUGAGCACUGAAACCAAGAUGUUUGAAGUCUCUAAUUUCUUUCUUUUUCGGAAGAGAAGGGUUGAAGGGGACAAUUAGCAAAGCUGCUGCCAGAACUGUGGAGUCAGCACGGGCAGCACCGUGGGCUUCAGCAGCCUUGGACUACACUGACCUGGUUAGAAGGGAAAAGACUGGAAACCCCCUUCCUUUUAAAGCAGAGAAUAGAAACACCUGCUGGUAUGCAGCACGGUUUUGGGAUGGAUGGAGACACAGUAACUGUGCCAGUCUCUGUACCAUAGGUUUUGAUGGGGUUUUUUAAGAACUUUUUUUUGUAUUUCAAGACUUUGGCUGUGCUUUCUACUAAAAAUGUAAUUGCAAAUCAAUGGUAUAAUUGUAUGUAGUCAAAGAAUGGGACUUUUAAGAUGAUUGGGCAGAUACUGACCCAGCUGAAAUGUUUGUAAGAAAAUCUGGGGGUGUGUAUUUACCAGGAGGGGUGUGUUGUGUAUAUUCCUGACAACAAUGCUCUAGAGAAAAGGGAUUCUUCACCCAGCAGCUGCACUCAUGUUGAGCUGUUCAGCUUUGUUCAUCUGCACUGAAGAGAAAUCUUUUACAGCAAUGUUAUUUGUAAUUCUACUAGUUUGUUUUUUAUUUGUUCUUGAUACUGUAAUCAAGUUCAAAGACAUCCUUUCAAGCCAAACAAAAAUACAUUGGCUAAGGACUUCUCCCAAGGAAUUAGAGGGACUAAUAGAAAAUGGAAGCCUUGGAAAACAAGGAAAAAAUUCUGGAGUCUUGCAAAACGACAGUUUUUCUGUUACAUCUAAGUCCUUAAAGUCUUUUUCUAAAGGUCCCAUAACUGUAUCUUGCUCUGUAUCUAAACUGAAUACAUUUUUAGACUGAUUUCAUGUGUUCAUCAGCAUUAUUUAGUUUAUAUUCUUUGUUUAAAAAUUGUUAUCUACAUUCAUAAGUAUCAAUUUCUCUAGAAGUAAUGGACAUUCAUAUUUAAAAUUCUGCAUAACUAUACAGGAAAAGCAGCCUUAACUGUAAGACCACUGGCCUAAGUUACAUUACAUUAAGCUAUUUGUACUUCAUACAAAUCCAACAGUUUUCAAUAAUGAAGUAACACUUUUAAGAAAGGGUUUUUCCAUUCUGUAUCUGUCUUGAUGUUGAAACACUACCUAAGACAUGCAAAACCAAACCAAUAUGUUGUGUCAACUCUCUAGGUUGUAGUCAUUGUUGAAGUGUUUAAAGUUCUGUAAGCAAACUAAUAAGGCAACAAGAAUCACUUCAUCUUCUGUACAUAAUCACAGUACACUUGAAAUAUGCAAAUCUAGAAACUUUUUGGUGUAGAUCUGUUUGGACUGUCUUGUACUAGUUUGCUUUGAGUUCACAAAAACGUUCUACAGGACUGCUUGGCUGUAUUUAUAGCAACAGAGAAUUCAACUGACAACUGUUUUCAUCCAAAGAUCAUAAUGUGGUGAGCAUUUAUGUGUAGAAAACAUUGGACUGAGAAUUUUGCAUCAGGUUGUAUAUACUGUAAAAACAGAGCAAGUCUCUGACACUGUGCCCACACUGUAAUUUGCUGCAAGUCUUGGUUUGGAUCUUUAAAGACAGACUUUAUUCUGGAGGUGUUUUACUGCAACUGUACAGAGAAUUUUGAACUAUAGUGCCUUCAGUGAGGAUGUAUAUAACUGGUUUAUACUCAUGGAAGAACGUUUUUCCCCCCCUUCUUCUAGAUCAGUGUUUUAUUAGAAUUACAAAUAAAUAUGUGCUCUGAAAACCAAGUUGGAAUUAGUUCAGUUAAAACCAAAGACUACACUUACUGUAACCUCACAACACCUGAAGUGUUCUGAUGAAUAACAAAAAGGGCUUCUUUUGGUUUGGGCUUUUCAAGAACUUUUUAGAUUUUGAAAUAAACUUUGAAAUAGUUCUAAUACAAUAUGCAUACAAUCAGAAGUUAAGUGUAGUUUUACAGACAGACACUGCUGUACAAAGAUGGCCAAAGCAUGUCAUGUGCUGAGUUGCCUAAAGCUGCACUUUACUUUUGAUUUGCUAGGCACCAUUAUCAUUUUGUGUCAAAAAACAGGCUGUAAUGUCUUCCUUCAUUUGUUGAAGGGCUGCAUAUUCACAGAAUUGGUUCAUGUUUUGGGAUUCUAUGAUGAGUUGUUAUAUCACUACCUUAAAAGAUUAGGCAGUUAUCUCCUACUUGAAAAUGAAGGAGAAAACUGAAAGGCUGGAUUAUGGAAAUAAUAGCCCAAAUCCCUUUCCUGCUUUUACUUAAUCAAGUUUGGCAGGUAAAUUAUUAUAUUCCAAUCAAA